CAAGUAGACCGGGUGGCCGCCCGCCUUUAAAGCGGGAGGAAAGUCCGAGCUCCUCCAGACAGGAUGCUGGGUAACACCCAGGGGGGGCGACCCUACGGAAAGUGCAACAGAAACAUACCGCCUGUGAAAAUAGGUAAGGGCGAAAUGGUGAGGUAAGAGCUCACCGGCAGUCCGGGUGACCGGCUGGCCGGGUAAACCCCGUCCGGAGCAAGGCCAAAUAGGGGAACGCAAGGACGUCUGGCCUGUUCCCGGGUUGGCCGCAUGAACCAGACGGUAACGUCUGGUCUAGAUAGAUGGUCAUCACCUUUGCCUUCGGGCAAGGGUACAGAACUCGGCUUACAGGUCUGCUUGGCUU
rnacentral:RNase_P_RNA from 16 species